rnacentral:rRNA from 1 species
UACGGAGGAUGCAAGCGUUAUCCGGAAUGAUUGGGCGUAAAGCGUCCGCAGGUGGCAAUGUAAGUCUGCUGUUAAAGAGUCUAGCUCAACUAGAUACAAGCAGUGGAAACUACAUAGCUAGAGUACGUUCGGGGCAGAGGGAAUUCCUGGUGUAGCGGUGAAAGUGCGUAGAGAUCAGGAAGAACACCGGUGGCGAAGGCGCUCUGCUAGGCCGUAACUGACACUGAGGGACGAAAGCUAGGGGAGCGAAUGGG